rnacentral:rRNA from 1 species
UGGGGAAUUUUGGACAAUGGGCGAAAGCCUGAUCCAGCAAUGCCGCGUGUGUGAAGAAGGCCUUCGGGUUGUAAAGCACUUUUGUCCGGAAAGAAAUCCUUGGCUCUAAUACAGUCGGGGGAUGACGGUACCGGAAGAAUAAGCACCGGCUAACUACGUGCCAGCAGCCGCGGUAAUACGUAGGGUGCAAGCGUUAAUCGGAAUUACUGGGCGUAAAGCGUGCGCAGGCGGUUUGCUAAGACCGAUGUGAAAUCCCCGGGCUCAACCUGGGAACUGCAUUGGUGACUGGCAGGCUAGAGUAUGGCAGAGGGGGGUAGAAUUCCACGUGUAGCAGUGAAAUGCGUAGAGAUGUGGAGGAAUACCGAUGGCGAAGGCAGCCCCCUGGGCCAAUACUGACGCUCAUGCACGAAAGCGUGGGAAGCAAACAGGAUUAGAUACCCUGGUAGUCCACGCCCUAAAACGAUGUCAACUAGUUGUUGGGGGAUUCAUUUCCUUAGUAACGUAGCUAACGCGUGAAGUUGACCGCCUGGGGAGUACGGUCGCAAGAUUAAAACUCAAAGGAAUUGACGGGGUCAUAGCUGUUUCCU